rnacentral:rRNA from 9 species
UUUGGUGGCGAUAGCGAAGAGGUCACACCCGUUCCCAUGCCGAACACGGAAGUUAAGCUCUUCAGCGCCGAUGGUAGUUGGGGGUUUCCCCCUGUGAGAGUAGGACGCCGCCAAGC